CUAGAAGUCACUUAGGUGCAGAGCACUCCUCUGUUUCCCAUCAUCUACCACUAAAUCUAUAGCUACGUCUUUUGUAAGGAAUGAUGGGUGUUGAGAUGAACUGUGAGAUUAAACUCAAGAGCACUUUGUGGAAGACAGAUGGACACGAUAUACCUGGCAAAGACAGUGGGGCCUUGAGUCUUAGUGUUUUCUCAUUACCUAGAAGAGAAUAGUUCAGCAGCUCCAGACAGGUGGGACAUGACCAGAUCUCCUUUCUUUUCCCUGUAGUGUCCAGGAUAUGCAGGAUGCCCUGCAAAACCUCCACAUCAUAGAAUCAUAGAACUGUAGAAUGAACUGAGUGGAAAAGGAACACAGUGAUCAUCUAGUUCCAACCCCCUGCUGUGUGCAGGUCGCCAACCAACAGACCAGGCUGCCCAGAGCCACAUCCAGCCUGGCCUUGAAUGCCUGCAGGGAUGGGGCAUCCACAGCCUCCUUGGGCAACCUGUUCCAGUGUCUCACCACCCUCUAUGUGAAAAACUUCCUCCUAAUAUCCAAUAUCCAACCUAAACCUCCCCUCUCUCAGCUUAAAGCCAUUCCCCCUUGUCCUAUCACUAUCCACCCUCAUAAACAGCCGUUCCCCUUCCUGUUUAUAUGCUCCCUUCAAAUACUGGAAGGCAGAAAUGAGGUCUCCCCAGAGCCUUCUCUUCUCCAAGCUAAACAAGCCCAGCUCCCUCAACCUUUCCUCACAGGAGAGCUGCUCCAGCCCUCUGACAUCUCAGUGCCCUCCUCUGGACCCGCUCCAAGAGCUCCACGUCCUUCCUGUGCUGGGGGCCCCAGGCCUGGAUGCAGUGCUGCAGAUGGGGCCUCACAAGAGCUGAGCAGAGGGGGACAAUCACCUCCCUCUCCCUGCUGGCCACCCCUUUUUAAUGCAGCCCAACACACAGUCGGCCUUCCAGGCAGCAAGCGCACACUGCUGGCUCAUGUCAGCUUCUUGUCCACCAGGACCCCCAAGUCCUUCUCCACAGGGCUGCUCUCCAGGAGAUCUUCCCCCAGUUUGUAUAAAUGCCUGGGAUCUCCCUACACAGUAGUGUCGGGCUCUGCAUUUUAAAGCAAAAAUUACCUGAAAGAGAGUUUG
rnacentral:lncRNA from 1 species